rnacentral:lncRNA from 1 species
UUAAUGUUGUCUUAUCAUAAUUUGUAUAGUAUAUUUUCCAUGUUGUUCAUGUUUUGUCUUAUCAUGAUUGUCAUGCUGUAUCCUCCAUAUUUUCCAGUUUUUAUUGUACUCUGUAUUAAUACUGUACCUUCCGUAUUUAACAACUUUUGUGUUUUUAUGAUUAUCAUGUAGAUUCUUCCAUAUAGUUAUUAUUUUUAUGUUAUAUAUUCUUUUAUAUAUUCUUGUGUUUCGCUUAAACUUAUAAAAGCGCUUUGUCUAAAUGCAAUUCUGUUUUUCUUGUUGACAUGUAUGUUUGCUUUUGUAGUGAUUAAGAUUAAAACACAAUGUUGACUUCUGUUCCCCUAUUUAUGACAAUUGAAUUGGUAUAUCUGUAGUUUUACUCAAACGUUAUUACAAUAUAGUUGAAUUUGAUAUGACUGUUUUAUUAUGAUCCUCAUCCUGUUUGUUCCAUGUUUUACUGAAUGAAUGUAGACGCGAUUACACUGUACACAAGAAUCAGAAACUAGUUUAUGUUAAUUGUUAUGCUGAAUUUCAGUCUAUUAAAUGUGCGUGGUUUGUUUUAUAAUACAAUGUAAAUGAUUUUUUCAGACUUUAUAUUACAGUAAAGGUGCUGGUAAGAAAGUAAACUAGUUUAACUUAAUUUAUCUCAAAUUAUAUAGUGAGUGGAUCAUUGUUAAGACGCAACCAAACACCUAUGUGACAACCACAUACAAACAUAAGAGAUCUAAAAAGGUGUGCAAAAUAUGUAUUUACACAUUAAUACUUAUUCAUUUAAAUAGUUCUGACUUCUUUUCAAACCUAUGCUUCUUUUUGUAACUGGAUCUUAAUGUGUACUCUAAAAUAUUACGCAAUUCAUAAGAUAAUAUAAUUUUUCCAAAGAAAUACCCCAAGAUUCUUCUGUAAGGUAAUUAUUAUACAUAUUGAGACAAUUUUCAAGAAGUGUCAUUCCUUUUCAUUGAUUCAUUUCCCCCCGUAUUCGUGUAACAUGUGCUCUAAUUAGUAUACAGAGUUGCGAAAUUGGUUUAGACUUUUGGACCUAUAAUUAAAUUUGGAAGAAUUUAUCAAACAAUCAUUCCAUUAAUAUAAAUAAAAAUGCACUGGAAUCUGAAAGUUUUACGUAAUAAGGAGCUAUGUAAUUUUAAAUUGAAGUAAAUAUAUAUAUACUCAUUGUUACUUUUGUUUAUUGUUAUGAUAAACUUAUUGUAUAUAUUGUAAUUAAAAAAUGUAAUGUGUUGAUAAAAAUCAUAUCUAAAAAAUAAUCAGAAUAAAAUUAUUCAGUGUUAUUUUGUGUUUUAAAACUUCUCUAAGUUUAUUUUAUAUUUUUAUCAAAAUAAAAAAUAAGAUGAUGUUGUGUGAUUGCUAAAGAGACAGACAACCUACAGAAAAAAGAUAACAUAAACGUUAUGUCAUUUAAAGAGAAGAACAUGUUAU